AGAAAAAGAGACUGCAUACAACGUUUCAUUCAUGUUUUGCCAGGCUCCCAAAUAAGCAAGAUACAUUUGUUGCAGCGGUCUCAUAUUUGUAAGUCUGUGGAAAAACCUGAAAAUGUUUUUUUCUUGAAAAUUUUUUGGAAAAAAAAGUAAAAUGUCAUUAGGAGUGAGAAUCAGGAAUGAUGGAUUCAGGGUCUAGUUGCAAGACUCAUCACAGGCCAUUAACCUCUGAAAAGCCUUUAUCUGCUUCGCUUUGUUACAUAUCAGACACGGAUAUUACUUACAAGUAUUGAAUGAUCCACUCAGUAAACACCAGCUAUGCAGGAGGUGCUACCUUAGCAAUGGGAGCUUCAGUCUGGGAGGAGAGCGGGACGUAUAAGCAAAUAAAUACAUCACGUUUCCCACAGGGCGCGCAUUUCGUGUUCAUCUUUGUCCCACUGGAUCUGUCCAAACUUUUCAUUUGACAGAUAAGGAAAACGAAGUUCAGACGCUUGAGUGACACAGCUAAUUAGUGGCAAGGCUGAGACUUUUGACCAGACAGCCUGACUUUUAGUUUCUACAAUGCAUGUGAACUCCUCCUAAACCCCAUUUAUUUUCUCAUUUCAGACAACUGCGCAAUAACACUGCUAAGAUAAAAGCGCUCUGAUUAAUGCACACUGAAAUUAAGCAGGUUGA
rnacentral:lncRNA from 1 species